rnacentral:lncRNA from 1 species
CAGACAACAUGGCAUCAGCCAAGUGGAAAGCCCAUUUGCAUAAUAAGAAGAUUAGGAUGGGGUGGCCAGCUUCCUCAUGCUAUGAGGGGCCUGGUAGGAGGUGACAGGAUCAUGGGGGUCAAUUUCCACCUUGCUGUUCUCUCAUGAUAGUGAGUAAGUACUCAUGAGAUCUGGUUGUUUAAAAGUGUGUAGCACUUCCCCCUUCACUCUCUGUCUCCUGCUCUGCAAUGUUAACAUGUGCCUGCUUCCCCUUCACCUUCCUCCAUGAUUGUAAGUUUCCUAAGGCCUCUGUACCCAUGCUUCC